AGUAUAACCUGUGGGCACAUUUUGAAAGAUCUCUGUAUCAUUUGCUGUCUCUGGACUUAAUAAUCUGAAUAAAUCGUUUCAUCUCUGGGAACCUUGGUUGCAUCCUUUACCUGGCUGUGGUAAAUCACGGACUCUACAUUUCUCAUACACUAUAUGGAUAAUAUUGCGGAAUACACAGCACUGCUGUUGCAACAGAUAGAAGCAGAAGCCAAAACAUCCUGUCAGCAAUAGCUACAGAUCUCGCUCCUAACCUUGAUGGCUGAAACUAACAACAAGGCUUAUGGGGCCAUCUUCUAUCAAGACUUGUGGAACAGACUCAAAAAUGACCUAGUCUCCAGGGAUCUCACUGAGCAAUUCGAAGACCUAUAUAGGAACCUAUACAGAUCAGAUGGGCGCAUCUUUCCGAAAAAGAGAAACUCCCGAGACGUUCUGCUGGACUGUGCCUAUAAUUUGGCGGUACAGCCCAUUUUGCCAACAACUGUUCCUCGAAGCUGUGAAGAUCUCCACGGCUAGGUAGGAUUGGGGAAUCUUAUCUAGAUGGCAUUGAACCUGCUCCCCAAAAGAACUCUCACUGAUCUCUUCUGCCAUUACAGAAUUGGCUAACCCCUAAGAGUAUCAACAUCUUAUCCGUUUUUGAUUUCGGGCUGCAGGAAACUUCCUGGACGCUGCUUUCACCAAACGUCUGGGUAUUCCCCUGUUUCCUCUUGUCUACUCCCCUAAGGGUUCUGGUGAUUGAUGAUAGGCCGUUAAUUUCUGACAACUGGAGAACCGAGAAAAGCUGUCAUUCCUCAUUAUAAACUGUCCAUGGGCUCCUGUGGUGUUGGGUUUACACUGGCUCCAUCUGCAUUACCCCUCUGUUGACUGAUCAGCCAAUCAGAUAUAUCAUUGGAGUCCUUUCUGUCAUUGGCCGCCAAUUCCAUUCAAUGGCAAACCCUCCCUUCAGCGGCUCUUCAAUCUUUACCAGUAGUUCACAAGGACUUUUCUGACGUCUUUUGCAAGAAGACCACAGGUAUACUCCUCCACACCACUCCUAUGACUGUCCCAUAUACCUUCUUCCAGGUACCAUGCCCCCUAGAGGUCAUACCUAUCCAUUAUCUCCUGCCAAGACCUCCACGAUGGAGUACAUUCAAGAUAACCUCCAGUGGGGAGUCAUGUGAUCUUCUUCUUCUCCUACAGGGGUGGGAUUCUUCUUCAUGGAAAAAGGACGGAGGGUUAUGUCCUUGUAUCGAUUACAGGGUCUCAACAAGAUCACGGUUAAGACUGAUAUCCCAUGCCUCUUAUCUCCAAGCUUUGGAGUUGGAUGUAUGUGGGAUGUACAAUUUAACCCGCAUACGUGAGGGAAACAAGGGGAAGCAGGGUCAUACUGGGGGGGUCAGGGACCACUGGGACUGACACAUCAGGGCCCUGCCACCACCCCCCCAGUAGAAAGGCUCCCACUACCCCAGUCGCUGGGCUCCCUCUGUCCCUCUCCCCCCACCCUCGCUGGCACGUACCUGCUUGGCGCAUUUCACCCAUUCCUCACAUGGUGGGGGAGGGGAGGACAGUAACGUGGCCUAUGUCUACAGGGUCUGGGCCGGCGGGGCCAAUGAGGGAAGACGGCAUUCAACACCAGAGAUGGGCAUUAUGAAUACCUGGUAAUGCCCUUUAGUCUAUGCAAUGCCCCUGCUGUCUUCCAAGAAUUUGUGUAAAUGCUUAUAUCCAGAAUCAUUAUUCCUGAUUGUCGUCUCAGUGAGGAUCAAGACCCAGUUGUUCCUCUCACUAAAAUUGUUUCCCUGUUUCCACAAUUGGCAAACUAGAUCAUAUCUGUCAAAUCCUCUGCUCCUGCCAAUACCUCAUAGGUAUGGUGUAUGUGCCUCCCUAGCUUCGCCUUCCCAUACUCCAGCAAAGUCACUGUUCCAGACAGACAGGGCAUCCCGGUACCAAGAAAACUUUGGAAUUUGUAGGUCGAGUCGUCUGGUCGCCAACCCUUCGGAAGGAUGUCAACAACUUUGUGGCAGCCUGUGCUAUCUGUGCUUCUUCUAAAUCUAGUCACUCACUUCCAAGCGGGCUAUUGUGACCUCUACCCAUUCCUUCCAGUCCUUGGAUUCACUUGACUAUAGGUUUUAUUGUCAAAACUGCCACCUUCCAAGGGAAACACAUUUCAUCCCUCUUCUGAAGCAAUCUUCUGUGGUAGAACUCUCUCAGUUAUUUAUUCAAUACAUCUUCCAAAUAUGUGGUUUCCCUGUGGAGAUUGUUUCAGACAGAGGUUCCCAGUUUGUGUCCAAGUUACUCUCCAAUUCAUCACAGCUUUCCACCUUCAAUCCAACAGGGCAGCUGAGAGAGUAAACCAAGCACUUAAACAGUUCCUGAGAAGUCACGCAUCUCUCUUUUAGAAUGAAUGGUCCAAUCUACUCCCCUGGGCGGAAUUUGCUCAUAAUAAUGCUUGUUAUGCUUCCACUGGUAGGGGACAAAGUGUGGCUUGCAACAAGAAAUACUAAUCUCAAAAUUCCUUCACGAUAGUUGGGUCCAACAUUUGUUGGUCUUUUUUCCAUUGUGGAGAUUGUUAACCAUGUGGCUGUCAGACUUCAACUUCUCCCUGAGAUGCGAAUCCCUAAUGUGUUCCAUUUCUCUCUGGUAAAACCGGCAAUCCCUAAUCACUUGUCGUCUGAACAAUCUCCACUGUCUUCUGCCACCAUGGACGUUCAGCAGGAAUAUGAGGUGGAAAAGAUUUUGGAUGCAAGAUUCUCCAGACUUCUACAAUUCCUGAUCCAUUGGAAAGGGUUUGAUCCUGGGUAAAGCAUACUGAUGUCGGUCUGAUGGUGCAAGAAAUCUAUACACAAUUUCCGAAGAAGCCAAGAUGUAGUAGUCAAGUGGCCCCUCCUUGGGGGAGGGGUUACUAUCAGGAGUGACAGAAGCACUCCGUCUCUGAAGCGCUGUUUGCUCCGUAUCCAAGAUAGCAAUGCCAGCACUGUGCCUUCUAAUUUAAGGGCACCAGGGUCAUGGGUUCAAUGCCGAUUAUAGGUCGCUAUACCUUGGUGUCCCUGGGUGUUCUAAAUUCUAAUAUUCUUGAUUUCUGGACUUUUGACCCUUGCCUGAACCUCUGACUACUAUCCUGAGCUGCCUGCAUUUGAACCUCUGCCUGAAUCCUGACCAAUCUCAUUCUUGACCCUUUGGCUACCACGAAUCAGACAUUAACCCUCAAACUUCCUCCUUGGUCCGGACUUCUCUGCUACUAGAGCUGCAAGGCCCCUGACAUAUACAUAGAAUUGGCUCCGUAUUUUUUCCAUGUUCUGGGUUAAUACAUUGAAUUGGCCCUUCAAUUCUCCUAUGUUCUAGUGCCAUUAUUCAUGGAAUGUAUACUGUAUUUUUUCUGCUAUGUGCCCUGGGUAUAAUAUUCAAUAUAUGAUUAUGAUGGUCUUAUUCCCAAUGUUUAAGGGCCUAUAAAUGAUUUUUCUUUGAGGUUAAGUUUUUUCUACCAAUGCCACUGGGUAUACAAGGAACUGGCAUUCUGUUUAUUCUGCCUAUUCUCAUGGCAUUAUCCAUCAAACUAACAAUGUAUUUAUCCUGCAGUGUGUUCAGGUGGCAUUAUACAUGGCACUGCAUAUAUUUUGCCACAUUUAAGAGAUAAUACACCCGACAUUGGCACUGCAUUUAUGAAGUAUUCUGGGGCAUUAUGCAUUAGAGCAACAAUGUGUUUAUUCGACUUGGGUGAAUUUCUGUGCAAUUUCAUUAUGAAACCAACAGUAGAUGACAGUGUCGUAACUAUAGAAGAAGCAGACCCCGGGUCAGGGGAGGGCCUGUGAAAAAGGGGGCCUGGACUGCUGGGUCUGCUUCCUCCCCACAGCUCUUUUUCUUCAUCUUCUAAUUGGCUCCUUUGCAAGCUUACUGCGGGGGAGGGGUUUUCAACGGGGGUGGGUUGUGCAUGCUGGGUCCUUUGUAAAUUUAGGGGCAGGGGGGCCAGGCAAGCUCUUGUUACACCCUGGUAGAGGACAAGCCUUUAACUAGCCUCCCCAAACAAAAUAAUUACCCUUCGCCUAUGAGUAUAAAUAAAGAAAUAUUUUCAAGUAUGUAUAGAAUUAUAAAAUGCUGAUUUGCUUCAGAGCAAAAAGCAGUUUUGCAUUAAGUAAAAAAUUGAAUGGUCCUAAAAUCAUGGGAAUAAUUGGAAAUCAGGUGUCACUUUAUUAAUCUGUACAUUAAAUCUGAACAAAAUGGGACACACAGAUAUUUACCCAGUCACCAUUAACAGUGCUGCAAAAAUUAUGUACAAAAUGCCCCUCUUUAUCUGUUACCAUUUUUUGGUGCAUGUCUAAAGCACAUGUAGCAGUGACACACAGGUCUCUGCAAAGAAAUGACCCAGUGAGCAUUACAUUUCCAUGCUGCAAUAGUGAUUGCUAUCAUAUGUAAUUGGCAGAGUUUUUCUUAUAUCAGUACUGCAUGGAACAUCUGAACUAAUUACUAAUCAGCUUUGAGACAUGUGGAUAAGUGUUUAGCUUUAAAGGAACAGCUGUAAGCAACCCAUGUUUUACGACUAGUAAUUAGUUCAGCCAAAUGGUGGCAGACAAGCCAGUCUGCAGCAUGCAUUGAGGGAGGAACUCCACGGUGCGGCUCGAGCCGACAGGUCGCGAUGAGACGAAACGCAUGCGGCGUGU